rnacentral:rRNA from 1 species
UACGUAGGGUGCAAGCGUUAAUCGGAAUUACUGGGCGUAAAGCGUGCGCAGGCGGCUUUGCAAGACAGAUGUGAAAUCCCCGGGCUCAACCUGGGAACUGCAUUUGUGACUGCAAGGCUAGAGUACGGUAGAGGGGGAUGGAAUUCCGCGUGUAGCAGUGAAAUGCGUAGAUAUGCGGAGGAACACCGAUGGUGAAGGCAAUCCCCUGGACCUGUACUGACGCUGAGACGCGAAAGCGUGGGGAGCGAACAGG